GAUGAACGCUGGCGGCGUGCCUAAUACAUGCAAGUCGAGCGAACGGACGAGAAGCUUGCUUCUCUGAUGUUAGCGGCGGACGGGUGAGUAACACGUGGAUAACCUACCUAUAAGACUGGGAUAACUUCGGGAAACCGGAGCUAAUACCGGAUAAUAUUUUGAACCGCAUGGUUCAAAAGUGAAAGACGGUCUUGCUGUCACUUAUAGAUGGAUCCGCGCUGCAUUAGCUAGUUGGUAAGGUAACGGCUUACCAAGGCAACGAUGCAUAGCCGGCCUGAGAGGGUGAUCAGCCACACUGGAACUGAGACACGGUCCAGACUCCUACGGGAGGCAGCAGUAGGGAAUCUUCCGCAAUGGGCGAAAGCCUGACGGAGCAACGCCGCGUGAGUGAUGAAGGUCUUCGGAUCGUAAAACUCUGUUAUUAGGGAAGAACAUAUGUGUAAGUAACUGUGCACAUCUUGACGGUACCUAAUCAGAAAGCCACGGCUAACUACGUG
rnacentral:rRNA from 1 species